AGGAAAGUUUCGUAAUUGGUAAUAUGAGUUGAGCUGUAAACUCAAUAGCACAAUGCUUGUGAGAGUUCGAAUCUCUUGUUUCCUA
rnacentral:tRNA from 1 species